UAAUACGUAGGGGGCGAGCGUUGUCCGGUAUUACUGGGCUUGAAGCGUUUGUAGGCGGUUCAAAAAGUCCAUAGUGAAAGCUCUCAGCUCAACUGAGAAAUUGCUAUGGAAACUAAUGGACUGGAGGACAGUAGAGGUCUGUGGAACUCAAGGAGUAGCGGUGAAAUGCGUAGAUAUCUUGAAGAACACCAGAGAGGAAGCUGACAGGCUGGGCUGUAUCUGACGCUGAGAAACGAAAGCUAGGGGAUCGAACCGGAUUAGAUACCCGGGUAGUCCUAGCCGUAAACGAUGAUUGCCAAAUGUCGGCUUUUUUGUCGGCGUUGCAGAGAAAUCCAUGAGCAAUCCGCCUGGGGAGUACGGCCGCAAGGCUAAAACUCAAAGGAAUUGACGGGGGCCCGCACAAGCGGUGGAGCGCCUGGUUUAAUACGAUGCAAAGCGUAGAACCUUACCAGGGCUUGACAUGUAGGAAGUAGGAACUCGAAAGAGGGACCACCAGUAUCCAGUCUGGAGCCUACACAGGUGUUGCAUGGCUGUCGUCAGCUCGUGUCGUGAGAUGUUCCGUUAAGUCGGGUAACGAGCGCAACCCUCGCCCUUAGUUGCCAGCGGGUAAUGCCGGGGACUCUAAGGGGACUGCCUUUUAGGAGGAAGGAGAGGACGACGUCAAGUCAGUAUGGCCUUUAUGUCCUGGGCUACACAGGCGCUACAAUGGAUAUGACAAUGGGUAGCAAACCGGCGACGGUGAGCCAAUCCCCAAACAUAUUCUCAGUUCGGAUUGCAGAUUGCAACUCAUCUGCAUGAAGUCGGAAUCGCUAGUAAACGCAGAUCAGCAAUGUUGCGUUGAAUACGUUCCCGGGCCUUGUACACACCGCCCGUCAAGCCACCUGAAUUGGCUGCACCAGAAGCCGUUGGCCUAACCCUUUAUUGGGGAGGAGAUGACCAAGGUGUGGUCAGUAAGGGGGACUAAGUCGUA
rnacentral:rRNA from 1 species